rnacentral:rRNA from 1 species
AACGCGAAGAACCUUACCUGGGCUUGACAUGCAGUCGACCGCCGUAGAAAUACGGUUUUCUCGCAAGAGACGGCUGCACAGGUGCUGCAUGGCUGUCGUCAGCUCGUGCCGUGAGGUGUUGGGUUAAGUCCCGCAACGAGCGCAACCCUUGUCGUUAGUUGCCAUCACGUAAUGGUGGGCACUCUAGCGAGACUGCCUAGGUUAACUAGGAGGAAGGUGAGGAUGACGUCAAGUCCGCAUGGCCUUUAUGCUCAGGGCUACACACGUGCUACAAUGGUCGGUACAGAAGGCAGCGAAGUCGCGAGAUGGAGCAAAUCCUCAAAGCCGGCCCCAGUUCAGAUUGGAGUCUGCAACUCGACUCCAUGAAGAUGGAAUUGCUAGUAAUGGCGGGUCAGCAACACCGCCGUGAAUACGUUCCCGGGCCUUGUACACACCGUUACAGU